rnacentral:rRNA from 1 species
UGGGGAAUAUUGGACAAUGGGCGCAAGCCUGAUCCAGCCAUGCCGCGUGGAUGAUGAAGGCCCUAGGGUUGUAAAGUCCUUUCGACGGGGAAGAUAAUGACGGUACCCGUAGAAGAAGCCCCGGCUAACUUCGUGCCAGCAGCCGCGGUAAUACGAAGGGGGCUAGCGUUGUUCGGAAUUACUGGGCGUAAAGCGCACGUAGGCGGAUUGUUAAGUCAGAGGUGAAAUCCCGGAGCUCAACUUCGGAACUGCCUUUGAUACUGGCAAUCUCGAGUCCGGAAGAGGUUAGUGGAAUUCCCAGUGUAGAGGUGAAAUUCGUAGAUAUUGGGAAGAACACCAGCGGCGAAGGCGGCUAACUGGUCCGGUACUGACGCUGAGGUGCGAAAGCGUGGGGAGCAAACAGGAUUAGAUACCCCCGUAGUCCCUGAGCGGGCUGGCAAGGCGCAU